rnacentral:rRNA from 1 species
UACGUAGGGGGCAAGCGUUGUCCGGAUUUAUUGGGCGUAAAGAGCGUGUAGGCGGCUGGGUAGGUCCGUUGUGAAAACUCGAGGCUCAACCUCGAGACGCCGAUGGAAACCCUCCAGCUAGAGUCCGGAAGAGGAGAGUGGAAUUCCUGGUGUAGCGGUGGAAUGCGCAGAUAUCAGGAAGAACACCAACGGCGAAGGCAGCUCGCUAGGACGGUACUGACGCUGAGACGCGAAAGCGUGGGGAGCGAACAGG